UUGGACACAAUUUUCUCCGUAGUAUUUUGAGACAUCAUCAUCUUUUCAAAUAAAAGCAAAAGAUUUUCUUUCUCCCCCUGCAGCCUGGAAACCGUCCUUGCUACAAGUGACACAACGCAAUAACCCGGGGCCCUUCACUUUACCAAGGAGUCUGAUGAGGAUUGGCAGGAAGCUCUUCAAAUGGCAAGGACUCCUCUUUGUCCUGAAAGCACUUAGAGGUUCUCUCGGGGCAGAGGCAAGACAUGGACAUAGUGAUAGCCAUGCUUAUUUCUGUAUGUGCAUUACAAAUCAUGAGUGCACACCAGUACCCAGUAUCCCCAGGUCCAGGCCAGCGUGACAAGGUACUUUGAAAGGUCUGUAUUCCGCCACAGGUGUAUUCCACUAAAGCAGGACAGAUUCCACACCAUGUGUGCAUGCUCUGCUCUUCUGGGUCUGUUUGCUGCCUCUCCGACUGCUCUGGUAUCUUCAAUGAGAUCUUAAAACUACAUGGAAGAUUGAGCUGUGACACCAAUGACCUCAGCGAGCAUGGCUGCCGUGAUGGUGGUCCUAUGGGGAACAUUUGCCAACAACUGAGUGACUCAGGCCUGGCUGCAGAGCCAAGGUCCUCCAAUAGGCAUGUGGGCUGGAUGCCAGAGGAGACUUCGCUCAGGGACAUGGCACAUUUCUCAUGGAAUGGAUUGCUGAUUUCAACCAGCCACCUCAGCCCUGCUAACUGCUGACUUCUGACUUUCUCUAAAUGAGAAACGUGAAGGCGUGUUUGUAUGUUUUAGACAGGAGGGACAGUUGUGAGCAUUUUUUCCAUGGCUAACUUGCAACUCAGUCCUUCCUUUGCUUUGGGUUGCUUCAUAUCGAAUGAUGGCUUGAAUGUGCUGGAGCCUUACUUAGGUUAGCGUACAUUUAUUCACACAUAAUGAAAAAGAUCAAUGUGAAGGAAAUGAAGGGACACAGUAUGGUCAUUAUACCUUUCAUAAUAAACACUGUGCGGCCAGCGUCUCAUUUUGUGCUGUUUGCUUCCGUGAAAUUAGCUAAUCCCUGGAGCACAGCCUUAUCAAUAUUAACAAUUAUUGGUUGUUUGUAUCAUUCCAUUUCUACUUCAUAGCUAGCCUCCCCUUUUAGUUUUUCUUAUUAUAGACUGAGGAAUUGAUUAAUGAAACAUAAAAUGUGGAGUCAGCUCACAGCUACUUGAAACCAUAUCCACCUAAGUCUGUCUUUGGACCUCUUUGGUGAGGCAACUGUCAUGUUAACCUGGUUAGAUGGACUGCAGCUGCUCCUUGUGCAGGCUGUGGAGAGGUUUGGGUGAUAAGAGGCUCCAUUUCAGGGUCAUUUGUCAUGUUUCUUGAUAAAGGCUAACAAUAGUGCCAUAAUGAAAAGAGAGGCCACAUAACAGUUCCAUUUGGCGACCUAUCACUACUGGGGAGUUUUCAAGUUUUCUUCUUUUGGCUUUCUGUGCUCUCUCAGUCUUUCCUGACUCUUACUCAAUUCUCACCCUGAAUUACGCCAGGUUGGUUCUUAAGGCUGCCCCUGCCAAUGAGGAGACUGAGGAGCUGGCAGGAGUUUUAGUCUCCAGACCAGGCCUUGAGGGUCAAGACCACCACCAGCCUUCUAUUCUACGCACCUCCCUGCGGCUUCGAUUUGGCUAAGUCAACUCCAAAGUGCUGGCUGCAGUUCUCACUGUUUCCUUUUCAGAACCAAGCCUUCUGGGCCACAGUUAUGAUGUCCUGAGCCCACCUGCAAGGCAAAUCUAGAGUACUGUGGCUCGGCUUCGGGGGCCCCUCCAUACCGAAGCACUCUCCCUGGGCUGCUUGUCUGGAUGAAGGUGCUCUCAGGGCCAGCAUGUCCCCUUACUAUUGCCCGAGCCAGGGGAUGACUGCCUUUAUGGCCGUCUCAGCUGUUUGCCUGACCACUCCUCUCUCAUUCGGCCAUUGUUCCAGAACACAACUGGCACAGCUGCUCUAAUUCUCAAUCCUUCGCAUUUCUUCCAUGAUGGAUCAUCAACUGCCGAGGACAGGCAGAGUCUCCCCGUCUCUGCUCCCACAGUGCUUGCCUCUACUCCUCUAGCACACAGCAGAAGAUUCUGAACUAACAUCGAGGACCCUAAGAUCGGACUGUGCCCUAUCGGUCAAGGCCUACGUGGCCCUGAGCGAGCUGCUUAGGAUCUGUUGCUUUCAGCUUGUCUAGAAGACAAACAUUUCACAGUAAGGCUAUUUGUGAAAUCUAAAUGAUGUACUAAAUCCAGACUGCAAUGUAUUUCAUAUUUAUAUCAGUGUCUACAUAGGAGUUUUAUGUGGCCUAUCUAGAUGGAAUUUGACCAAAUCUGAAAAUCUGGCUGAAAUCUGUUGGCUGUAAGGGAUGCCUGAGCAGAGUCUAUUCUUGGGUGUGUCCUGAGUCCCAGGAAGCAGCUGUGGAAGAAGACAGUGACCCUCAACACCAGCCUGGUUUGGACUGAGUCUGCAGACAGAACAUUUCAAAGUCGGUUAUUUUAUUGUAUUUUCACAGAGAGAUAAUGCAGUUUAAAAUACGGACUUGGCAAAGCCUCUGAGUGUUAGAGACUUCAUUACCAACCUUCAGCCGCUCCCUGCUUUCAUAAGAAGGAAUUUUUAGAAAUGGGUGAGAGUUGUUACCAAUCCACUGGUAGAAACAGCAGGUAUCCCCUAAGCUCAUGGACCCAACAAAACUUCUGCUGGCUUCCAACAUUCAGUACAGGAAACAUCUGUUAAGCAGGAUAAAGAUCUAAAAAAUAUUUGUAGGUAGCCUAGUUGAGCUGAACACUGGUAAUUCAUUGGACAUUGACCCUGAAUCUUUAAAGCCCCCUUCCGGUCAAAGUUUGAAACUUUGGACUGUCCUCAACUGGGGGCUCUGGGCUGCAGGCUAUACACAAUGGAGUCCAUAAUCUCUGGGGCUCUGCAAUCAGCAACCUAAGCAUUCCGACACACUAGCCCUGGGGAUCCUCCCUUCUGCUGGCAAGGGAACUCAAGGUAUUUUAUGAGAUGCCAGGGCAUUGAUUCAAUGAGCAAGGACCACGUUUAUUUUAACCAGUGGGGAGAAAACAAAAUCAAAAUAGAAAUUUCAGCUAAUUUAUGGAUAAUAAAACGCAUCUGUCUAAUUGAUUAAAGAAUGUUCA
rnacentral:lncRNA from 1 species